GGGCCAUUAGUGUGUUGUGGUGCACACAGGAACAACCAUGUAAAGGAUCGUGUUGUGUAAACACAGCCAAGGGUGGGUAUGAUGAGUAUGAAGACACUGAACUCUGAAGACAUUGAAGAGUGUUCUUAAGAUGGGUAUAUUUUCUUAUAAUUGGGCGUCCCACCUAUAUUUUGUGUGUGCAUUGCUACUGUUAUUGAUAUUCGUAAUUUGCACCUAAGAUCGUUGAUUUACAUCUUUAUGCUGAAAUAGAAACUAUAGUUGUACUGUUGUAGGUUGGUCACUAGGUCAGGGAAGCAACUUAGAAUCUGCCACUGUCUAAGCUCUAAAUAUUAUUCAGCAUUUCUUCACAUAUGUCUACUUUUCUGAAAAAGGCAGCAGCUAUAGCAGCCAGAAAGUUUAAUAAUUUACUCAGAUUGGUGCCAUUAUAUGUUUCUUGUAUGGUUUCAGGUGGAAAAAGAGGGAGUGAAAUUCCUACUACAUAUUGUACUAUAGCUGACUGCACGCCUGAAGACUAUAGAAUGAAAAUGCAGAAAUUUAUGUUGUGUGCUACUACUGCCUAAGAGGUCCAAUGCACAACCACUUUUUAUACACUUUUUUUUUUUUUUUGCAUAUUCAUCAGCCUCAUUCUUUAACUAUACAUGGUAAUAGCCACAGAUAUCUCGUACUUGGAAGAAACUUUCUGAUUUUUGUUUUUGAAGGCAAUCAUCAACAUCUAUAUACUUUUACUUCUUAUUUUUUGGAAGAAACUUUCUGAAUUCUGUUUUUAAGGCAAUCAUCAACAUCUAUAUUUGUUUUUCAUGAGAGACUUGGUGAAAUUCCCGAAGAUUUGGGAUCUAACCGAGCCGGACAACCUUUGGUUAAUUAGUGAAACUCAGGAGAGCAGCAAAAUAGAUCAAGUGGAGCGAUAUUUAGAAGCAAAAUGAUCUAUAUGUGUACUUAAAAGGAAUUUGUCUAUGCCCAAUAAGUAGAGUAAUUUUGGUUAUAACUGUUGUUAGUUAUUGCUUUAUAAUUGCACUGGAAGGAAACAACAUUCUAAUUUGAUUUUAUAAGGAAUUAGAGAUUUAUCUCUGUCAUCAAGCUUAUCACUUUUUAGGGAGUACUUAAAUUCGUCCUCAUGAUGCAGGUUCGAGGUAGUGAGUGUUAUUAUUAAGUCAUGCAACCAACUGAAAAUCACCUUCUUGGAGGCUCAAGACAUUACUGAUUUAGGUUCUUUAAAAGAGGCAACAAAGAUUUUCAUUCCAGGUGGGUCAUCACUGUACUCCGCACGUACAAUAAAAAUGAAAGAAGAUGAAGGUUUCAGGACAUAUUAUUUUUAUGAGUUCAGCAGAGAUGAACAACAUGUCGCUCUUGUGGCUGCUGUUAGUGGCGGGAAGGCAGUUGUUGCUGGAGGGACUGCCCCAGAGUCCAAGUGGGAUGAUGAUGGUGUGAAACUUCGUAGUGCAACAUUGUCUCUGACUCUGCUGUAGUGUUACUUUGACAAUUGAGGUUU